rnacentral:rRNA from 1 species
CGUAUCACUUAAAGCGAUUCAGCGGGUUACGAUUGACGGAGCGAAGCGACGUCAAAGCGUAUACAAAGUCGAGUCGGUUUAAGGAUACGUUCGUUGGGUAGGGGAGCGUUCUGUAAGCCUGUGAAGGUGGCCUGUGAGGGUUGCUGGAGGUAUCAGAAGUGCGAAUGCUGACAUAAGUAACGAUAAAGCGGGUGAAAAGCCCGCUCGCCGGAAGACCAAGGGUUCCUGUCCAACGUUAAUCGGGGCAGGGUGAGUCGACCCCUAAGGCGAGGCCGAAAGGCGUAGUCGAUGGGAAACAGGUUAAUAUUCCUGUACUUGGUGUUACUGCGAAGGGGGGACGGAGAAGGCUAUGUUGGCCGGGCGACGGUUGUCCCGGUUUAAGCGUGUAGGCUGGUUUUCCAGGCAAAUCCGGAAAAUCAAGGCUGAGGCGUGAUGACGAGGCACUACGGUGCUGAAGCAACAAAUGCCCUGCUUCCAGGAAAAGCCUCUAAGCAUCAGGUAACAUCAAAUCGUACCCCAAACCGACACAGGUGGUCAGGUAGAGAAUACCAAGGCGCUUGAGAGAACUCGGGUGAAGGAACUAGGCAAAAUGGUGCCGUAACUUCGGGAGAAGGCACGCUGACACGUAGGUGAAGUGAUUUACUCAUGGAGCUGAAGUCAGUCGAAGAUACCAGCUGGCUGCAACUGUUUAUUAAAAACACAGCACUGUGCAAACACGAAAGUGGACGUAUACGGUGUGACGCCUGCCCGGUGCCGGAAGGUUAAUUGAUGGGGUCAGCGCAAGCGAAGCUCCUGAUCGAAGCCCCGGUAAACGGCGGCCGUAACUAUAACGGUCCUAAGGUAGCGAAAUUCCUUGUCGGGUAAGUUCCGACCUGCACGAAUGGCGUAAUGAUGGCCAGGCUGUCUCCACCCGAGACUCAGUGAAAUUGAACUCGCUGUGAAGAUGCAGUGUACCCGCGGCAAGACGGAAAGACCCCGUGAACCUUUACUAUAGCUUGACACUGAACAUUGAGCCUUGAUGUGUAGGAUAGGUGGGAGGCUUUGAAGUGUGGACGCCAGUCUGCAUGGAGCCGACCUUGAAAUACCACCCUUUAAUGUUUGAUGUUCUAACGUGGACCCGUAAUCCGGGUUGCGGACAGUGUCUGGUGGGUAGUUUGACUGGGGCGGUCUCCUCCUAAAGAGUAACGGAGGAGCACGAAGGUUGGCUAAUCCUGGUCGGACAUCAGGAGGUUAGUGCAAUGGCAUAAGCCAGCUUGACUGCGAGCGUGACGGCGCGAGCAGGUGCGAAAGCAGGUCAUAGUGAUCCGGUGGUUCUGAAUGGAAGGGCCAUCGCUCAACGGAUAAAAGGUACUCCGGGGAUAACAGGCUGAUACCGCCCAAGAGUUCAUAUCGACGGCGGUGUUUGGCACCUCGAUGUCGGCUCAUCACAUCCUGGGGCUGAAGUAGGUCCCAAGGGUAUGGCUGUUCGCCAUUUAAAGUGGUACGCGAGCUGGGUUUAGAACGUCGUGAGACAGUUCGGUCCCUAUCUGCCGUGGGCGCUGGAGAACUGAGGGGGGCUGCUCCUAGUACGAGAGGACCGGAGUGGACGCAUCACUGGUGUUCGGGUUGUCAUGCCAAUGGCACUGCCCGGUAGCUAAAUGCGGAAGAGAUAAGUGCUGAAAGCAUCUAAGCACGAAACUUGCCCCGA